UCCUAAUUCCUAAACUUGCAUGGCUAUAAAUCAAAACUUGUCAAGAGUUUGAAUUUAUGAUCAGGGGGUGCAGUUCAAAUCAGUGACCACCUCAAUCCCCUGCUCUUAGAACUGCAUGCCAAGGCAGGAAGCAUGUUGUUGUAUCUCAGCUUGAGGUUUUCAAGGGACAAUGCUAUUAAAUUCUCAGGAAUUAUAGUUCAUUCCUUAGCAUUAAAUAGUUUCCUUCCUCUCUUUAGAAAUAUUAUACUGUAAUAGUACUUCUAAAUUGAAACUUAUCAUGAGCUUCCAUGAGAAAAAAAGUAGAAAAUAAUUGAUGUAUUAGGUAAUUUAUACAUCCCAGUAUAGGACUUCAGUUUUCAUGUUUGUUAAACUGCAUUUACUGUAUGUUGCAUAAAGAGAGUAAAAUUAAUUUUGAACUCACACUUCUUAUUUUAAACCUUUUAUAAAGUCCACCAAGGCAAAAUUAUUUAAUUUUCUAACAAAGAUUGAUCUAUAUAAAAUACUAUGAAAGCAUUUUCUUUACAUGCUCUUACAUUACUCUUCCCCUGUACAUGAAGGAUAUGGACAGAUUUGGUCUAGCAGAGUACCCUAAAAUAUUGCACCCUCACAAAUGAAAUUCCAUAGAAGACUGCAAGUUUGGUUCAGAGCAAAACAUCAAUUUCAAUCUGUUUUAAUGGAUUAAAAAAACCCUAUGUCUGUCUAACUAACCUUCUAACACCACGUCUCUUUCUACUUCUGACACUCCAGAAAACAUUAGCUUGCACUAACAAGGCUGGCUGUGCACCAGGAGAGACCAGGAGUGCUCACAGAGGAGCUGAACGUACAAGAGUUGAAUUGCUAAGCAAAAGCAGGAGCAAUGCAGUGAAAUGAGAACCUUUUCAUUUUGGAGAACAUCUCCAGGGAGCACGUGGCUGAGCACCACACCACAUUGAUCCGGAGACAAUCAUUUUGAUCGAGCACUCAAACACCAAUUGUGAGCUUUAAAGUCCUGCCUCUCCUCUCUGCUGCACAAGCACCUCUCUGGCAGAUCAC
rnacentral:lncRNA from 1 species